CACGUAGGGCGCAAGCGUUGUCCGGAAUUAUUGGGCGUAAAGGGCGCGUAGGCGGCUUGGCAAGUGGAUGGUGAAAUCCCUCGGCUUAACCGAGGAACUGCCGUCCAAACUGCUUUGCUUGAGGCCGGGAGAGGCGAGUGGAAUUCCCAGUGUAGCGGUGAAAUGCGUAGAUAUUGGGAGGAACACCAGUGGCGAAGGCGGCUCGCUGGACCGGUUCUGACGCUGAUGCGCGAAAGCGUGGGGAGCAAACGGG
rnacentral:rRNA from 1 species